UACGUAGGGUGCAAGCGUUAAUCGGAAUUACUGGGCGUAAAGCGUGCGCAGGCGGUUAUGUAAGACAGUUGUGAAAUCCCCGGGCUCAACCCGGGAACUGCAUCUGUGACUGCAUAGCUAGAGUACGGUAGAGGGGGAUGGAAUUCCGCGUGUAGCAGUGAAAUGCGUAGAUAUGCGGAGGAACACCGAUGGCGAAGGCAAUCCCCUGGACCUGUACUGACGCUCAUGCACGAAAGCGUGGGGAGCAAACAGG
rnacentral:rRNA from 1 species